rnacentral:snoRNA from 1 species
CCUGCCCCUAGAGGCACUGCAGGUGUGGCUGUUGUGUCACAUGUGCCUCAGUAGUUGGCAGAGAGGGGGGAGAUGCUAUGUCUACACUUAGCGGUCCGACCUAUGAACAUCUGAAUGAUUGCUAGCCUAACAUU